GACGUAGGGCGCGAGCGUUGUUCGGAUUUAUUGGGCGUAAAGAGCUUGUAGGCGGUUUGUCGCGUCUGCCGUGAAAAUCCGAGGCUCAACCUCGGACUUGCGGUGGGUACGGGCAGACUAGAGUGUGGUAGGGGAGACUGGAAUUCCUGGUGUAGCGGUGAAAUGCGCAGAUAUCAGGAGGAACACCGAUGGCGAAGGCAGGUCUCUGGGCCACUACUGACGCUGAGAAGCGAAAGCAUGGGGAGCGAACAGG
rnacentral:rRNA from 1 species